GUCUUCUCUCCUUUUGUUUUCCGACCUUGGCUUACCGUACUGCUGCUCUCAACAGUUCUCUCUCUCGGAUUAGUAGUUAGAUAAUUGCUAUGGGUUUCCAUAUAAACCCAUGCUCCCUUUUACUACCUUUUUACUUUUGUUUCUUUCACACUUCUCACCUCUGCAAGAAAAAAUUCGUUUUACAGGGAAAAAUAUAUAAAAAAGAAAAGUCUUCCUAUUUUUGAGAGAAGAAGAAGAGGAAAGAUCGCCCAUGAACUAUGAUCAUCGCCUUUGUUUCUGAAAGGAGCGGUAGUGUUUGAAAGUUGAUCCAAUGGACACUGCAGCGAGUCAAUCAUCGUCAUCGUCAUCGUCAUCGUCAUCGUCAAUUAUGUUUUAUGAUUUUCUUGAUAAAAUGCGAAAUCCUGCUUCUCUCAAUCUAGUCAAAUCCAUUAAAAGCUUCAUUGUAUCAUUCCAAUUUUCGUCUGCGAACCCUGAAAAUGAUAGCAAAAGGGUACAAGAGUUUUUCUCAACAAUGGAAGCAGCUAUCAUGGAACAUCCAUUAUGGGCUGGUGCCACUGAUGAUGAAUUUGAUUGCUCAAUGGAGGGACUGGAGAAAUACAUCAUGACGAAAUUGUUCUCCCGAACAUUUGCUAUUUCUCCCGAGGAUGUGAAGAUUGACCAAGAGAUCUCUGAGAAGAUACACUUGUUGCAAUCCUUUUUACGGCCUGAGCAUUUGGAUAUUCCUCCAUUUCUUCAGAAUGAAGCUUCAUGGCUGCUUGCAGAAAAGGAAUUGCAGAAGAUCAAUGCUUUCAGAGCUCCUCGUGAGAAGCUUCACUGUAUUAUGAGCUGCUGCAGGAUCAUCAACAAUUUGCUGCUCAAUGCAUCAAUGUCAGAAAAUCAUGUACCGGGAGGGGCCGAUGACUUUCUUCCUGUUCUUAUAUAUGUCACAAUCAAGGCCAAUCCUCCUCAGUUGCAUUCAAACCUCAAAUACAUCCAAUUGUACAGGAGGCAAGAAACAAUGGUAUCUGAACCAGCUUAUUAUUUCACGAAUCUUGUCUCAGCCAAGUCCUUUAUUGGCCAGUUAGAUGCCAAAUCUCUUUCUAUGGAUGAAAUUGAAUUUGAAGAGAGCAUGCAAGCAGCUAAGUUGGACAGCAAGGUAUCACAAGUAGAAGCUUCACAGGCACAGACAGAUCCUAUUUUUUCUACAAGAAUGCAUGGCAUGAAAACAAAUAUAGAUGGCAGAUCAAAUUAUCCAUAUAUGGAAGCUGAGCCUGGUGAACUGACUGUUGAAGACGUGGAAAGAUUGCUGAGUCUGUACAAAGAUGUGGUUACAAAGUACUCUAGCCUCUGCAGGGCUGUUAGGCAUCGCUCUGCAACCAGAACAGAACCAUCCCUUCCUGUUCCUAAAGGGAGAGAUGACAUUUUAUUGCAACUUGAGGGACAAGCACAAAUGAUCCGAGAGGAGAAGGCAGAGGUCAGUGAUACAACGAAAGGAUGCUGAGGCUUUGAGUGCUAAGAAAGUUGAUGGUUUUCAAUUUAAUCUUAUGUAAAGCAUCAAGCAUGAUCGACUUUUGGCAGAAUUCUAUAUCAAAUUAUUGCCAACACUGGCCCUUUAGCUGGCAGCUAGAUUUGCAUGGAUGGUAGGGGAGUUUUUGUAAGUUCAAUUGCAUCCUUUUUCUUAAAAAACAAUUACAAAAAUAUGCAUGUUAGUGAUCUAUAUGCUAGGUAUGAUGAGUUAUUGCAGCAUGAUUCUAUGAGGGGAUGUUUUUCCUCUCCCCUAGUGAAGCUUCUGGUUUGGAGCAAGAAGUUACAGAGGCAGAUGUAUCUAUAGUUUUAUCUGAUAUGGCCAGUUACAAAGCUCCAGGUCGGAUGGAUUUCAGACAUGUUUCUUUAAGAUGAAUCCUGGGAGGUAGUUGGGGAUUGUGUUCGUAAGAUACCCUUAUAUAUUACACAAUUUAUCAAUCAUACCCUUUACUACAAAAAUUAAUCAAUUAUAUUCUUUAGUUUG